rnacentral:rRNA from 1 species
GACGUAGGAGGCGAGCGUUGUCCGGAUUUACUGGGCGUAAAGAGCGCGCAGGCGGUCGUUCAAGUCGAGUGUGAAAGCCCCCGGCUCAACUGGGGAGGGUCAUUCGAUACUGAUCGACUCGAAGGCAGGAGAGGGAAGCGGAAUUCCCGGUGUAGUGGUGAAAUGCGUAGAUAUCGGGAGGAACACCAGUGGCGAAGGCGGCUUCCUGGCCUGUUCUUGACGCUGAGGCGCGAAAGCUAGGGGAGCAAACGGG